GAUGAAGAACGUAGCGAAAUGCGAUAAGUAAUGUGAAUUGCAGAAUUCAGUGAAUCAUCGAAUCUUUGAACGCACAUUGCGCCCGCUAGUAUUCUGGCGGGCAUGCCUGUCCGAGCGUCAUUUCAACCCUCAAGCCCCCGGGCUUGGUGUUGGGGAUCGGCGAGCCUCCGCGCCCGCCGUCCCCUAAAUCUAGUGGCGGUCUCGCUGUAGCUUCCUCUGCGUAGUAGCACACCUCGCACUGGGAAACAGCGCGGCCACGCCGUUAAACCCCCAACUUCUGAACGUUUGACCUCGGAUCAGGUAGGAAUACCCACUGAACUUAAGCAUAUCAAUAAGCGGAGGA
rnacentral:misc_RNA from 1 species